GAUGAACGCUGGCGGCGUGCCUAAUACAUGCAAGUCGAGCGAACAGACGAGGAGCUUGCUCCUCUGACGUUAGCGGCGGACGGGUGAGUAACACGUGGAUAACCUACCUAUAAGACUGGGAUAACUUCGGGAAACCGGAGCUAAUACCGGAUAAUAUAUUGAACCGCAUGGUUCAAUAGUGAAAGACGGUUUUGCUGUCACUUAUAGAUGGAUCCGCGCCGCAUUAGCUAGUUGGUAAGGUAACGGCUUACCAAGGCAACGAUGCGUAGCCGACCUGAGAGGGUGAUCGGCCACACUGGAACUGAGACACGGUCCAGACUCCUACGGGAGGCAGCAGUAGGGAAGCUUCCGCAAUGGGCGAAAGCCUGACGGAGCAACGCCGCGUGAGUGAUGAAGGUCUUCGGAUCGUAAAACUCUGUUAUUAGGGAAGACCAAAUGUGUAAGUAACUAUGCACGUCUUGACGGUACCUAAUCAGAAAGCCACGGCUAACUACGUG
rnacentral:rRNA from 1 species